CUUGCAUUUCAAUUCAAGCCAGACCUAUCUCUCUUUUCCUUGGAAAACUAAGUUUUGGACCAUUAUAAAAUUAUGAUCUACAAAAAAGAAGCAAUCUGAAUUUAGGUGUGAAAUCUCCUAUAAAAGCAAAAGGAUUGGAAACCUUUUUUCUUCUUUUAUCUUGUAUGACUCUGAUUCCUUACCUAAGGUAAAGGACUUCUGUUACAAAGCAAAAGAAUUAAGUUUACACUUUACACUAUAUUGCUCAGCAUCUCUUCUGUUUUCCCUCGAAUAUGUUUUCUUUAUUCGCUGGGGCGCUCAGUUCCUUCCUGCUUCCGGAGCUGAGGCAUUGUAGUGCAGCUCCUGCUGAAGGCUGCUUUGUUUGGGAAGACGUGCUCUUGUUGUUUUCUUGCUGCGGCCGCCUCAAUAAAGUUCUGGCUACCCUCUCUCUUCUUUUGCGUGCGGCCCGUGAUGUUUUGAUCCUUUCUUUCUUUCUUGCUCUAAGUAUAAAAUUAUUCUAACUUAAAAUUAUAGAGCUAAAAUCUGAUUACUUGAUUUUAAAUUCCUAAAUGUUAAACACAAUAAUCAUAAUAACACAAUUGUGAGCUCACUCAGAAUUAUAAAUUCCAUCAAAUUUUAAAUUUAUUAAUACCUCUUCCGUCAUGGACACUUUUUGUAUUUAUAUUUCUAAAAUUAUUAUAUAGCUUAUAAAAGAAUCAAAUGAGUUUUUUCUCUAGAUUUUGUCUUUGUUUCAUUCACAAUCAAUUAAAAUAAUAUACAAAAUAAGAAUUUUUUUGGUUGGUCAAGGUGUUAAAGAUUUGGCAUAUUAUAUGAGAAUACGUACUAAGAUUAACUAUACGAUUUUAUAGUGAAGUAUGCUAUAUCUUACAGUUUAUAUUUUAUACGCUAAUUGGUAUUAGAUAUUUCAUUCACAAUUGUUCUAUAUAAUGUCUUUUUACAUCUCAACUUUUUGUCUAUAAAAUACUACAGAGCUCUCUAAAAGAGAAAAUUCUUCUUAAAGGAAGAAGACCAUAAUUGUUUGGUUUCCGGUGGAUUACGUCUUCCAUUAAAUUGAAUAUUUUGUACAAUAACUUAGUUACUUAUCUAUCUAUAUCUAUUUAUAUUAUUAUAAAAGUACGAAUAUAAUGUUGGUUUACAAAAAUAACCUUAUAAUAUUAAGCAUAAUAACUCAUAGUAAAAGGUCAUAACCGGAAUUUUAGAUGCCGUUAUCAAUGUAAUCCUAUUAGUUUUAGAACAUAAUAGGUACGGAAAUCCUAGAUGUUAGCCAUAUAAUUUUAUUACUUUUAGGAUCCUACUACUAAUUCUUAAACCCCGAAAACUUUUUGCUAAAUUAAUUUAUUUAUAAAUAUGCCGGUUUGAGAAUAUAGUAAAAGAAAGUUUUUGAAUUUGACUAAACUUAAAUGUGCCCGUUUUUGGAGAUAAACGAGAAAAAAAGACUGACGGCCUCUACCAAUCCACAAAUUUUGCUUUACUACUUAAGUCUAAAUUCCAAUAUCACUUGGAAAUCGAUGGAGAUAACUUAUUUUCUGUUUGAGAAUUGGCAUAUUGUCAUGUAAUUCUAUUACCUUUAGGAA